AGCGAACGCUGGCGGCAGGCUUAACACAUGCAAGUCGAGCGGGCGUAGCAAUACGUCAGCGGCAGACGGGUGAGUAACGCGUGGGAACGUACCUUUUGGUUCGGAACAACUGAGGGAAACUUCAGCUAAUACCGGAUAAGCCCUUACGGGGAAAGAUUUAUCGCCGAAAGAUCGGCCCGCGUCUGAUUAGCUAGUUGGUGAGGUAACGGCUCACCAAGGCGACGAUCAGUAGCUGGUCUGAGAGGAUGAUCAGCCACAUUGGGACUGAGACACGGCCCAAACUCCUACGGGAGGCAGCAGUGGGGAAUAUCGGACAAUGGGCGCAAGCCUGAUCCAGCCAUGCCGCGUGAGUGAUGAAGGCCCUAGGGUUGUAAAGCUCUUUUGUGCGGGAAGAUAAUGACGGUACCGCAAGAAUAAGCCCCGGCUAACUUCGUGCCAGCAGCCGCGGUAAUACGAAGGGGGCUAGCGUUGCUCGGAAUCACUGGGCGUAAAGGGUGCGUAGGCGGGUCUUUAAGUCAGGGGUGAAAUCCUGGAGCUCAACUCCAGAACUGCCUUUGAUACUGAGGAUCUUGAGUUCGGGAGAGGUGAGUGGAACUGCGAGUGUAGAGGUGAAAUUCGUAGAUAUUCGCAAGAACACCAGUGGCGAAGGCGGCUCACUGGCCCGAUACUGACGCUGAGGCACGAAAGCGUGGGGAGCAAACAGG
rnacentral:rRNA from 1 species